UAAAGGGAGCUGAAAAGGCAAGGGCAUGUCUAUAAGGGAGAGGAAGAGGAGAAGCCAGGAGGUAAAAAAUAUCACAACUGAAAAAACAACCCCCAAUGAAUAACAGGUGGCACCAGGUCAUCUAUGGGGAUAACUUGUUGAUUCUGGUCGAGUGUUGGGCUGCAAAAGUGUUCUUGAAAGAAAUAUUUCCUUUUAUUUUCCAGAAAGCUACUAUCUUUCAGUUAUUUAUAUCCCAUGCCAAAGAGGAAAACAGUACGACAGUUCUGCAAUCUGUCACUGGACCUAGUGCAAAUGCUGGAAGAUCCUACCAAGUAGCCAAAUGUGGCCUGAAAGCACCUGUGCCAUUUUGGCUGCUGUUACUGCAAAAAUACCAGAAACUAGCAACUUCAUGGAUUUAAUUGGAAAUGAAGGAACUGUAUUGAGAAAUAACAUCUCUCCAUGUAAGAAGCGAAGAAAAGGCAUGUUUCUCUUUUCUGUGUAUUAUUAGAAUGUGUCUGCCUUCCUCAGCACAUCAGCACUAAUGAUGCUGAAGUCCAUAAAAGAUAAUUGCCUUGAGUCAUUCUCUAGCCCCAGAGAAGGUAAGAUUAAUAAAGAACAUUUGUUAUAAUUUUGCAUCCAAUUUAUGUAAUGGAACACAUAAUAAAUAACCACAUUUAACACAAGUAUUCAUCAAAGUCAAUUUACACAUCUAUUUGUUCACUAUAUGUUAAACUGAACAUUUAUAAGAAUAAGUUGGUUUCUUUCUCUGUUUCCAUUUCUCUCUAUGAAAGUAAAAAUUAUUGUUAGAUAUGGUAAUUUUUGGCUUUUAUACAGGCAGCAUUGAUAGUGAUAUAUGUGACUUCUUAGCUGUUGCUACACGAUGUACAGUUUUGCACAGCAUGUUACUUCUGUCUGGACUAGGCGGAAAGUAUUGUUUUAAAAAUAUAAAACCAUUGUUGAUAGCCUAUUCUUUUCUCAGUAACUUGUCACUUCAGGUGAACAUAGUUUAUAAGAGAAGUUGUGGAUUUCCAUGGACUGCCACCUCUUAAUUACUUACAGUAAAGGAGACAGAGGCAGUCCAGUGCAUUAAAUUGACAGUAUCUCCAAGCAUUUUUUAAAACCAUUUUCAGUGUACCCUAGUUCCAAGCUUUAGCCAAUGUCAUCCCUUUUUCCAUUUUUUAUCUACCUGCUUCUGCAAGGAUAAGAUGACUCUCACCCAUGUAUACCCUAGAAAAUGCAGCCACUACACAGUCAUUUACAAACCUGCAGAGCAGAAACAAAUGGAUCCACAAUCUUACACUGACACAGAACAAUUGAGGUCAGAAUUAUUGGUAAUGUCUGUAAGGAACUUCUACAAGAAAAAGAUCAAGGCCAUAAAUGCUUGGUGGUUCCCACUGUUGUUGGCUGAAUAAUGGCCCCCUGGACAGGUCCAUAUCCCAAUCUCCUCCCGGGAGCCUAUGAAUGUGUUAUCUUACAUGGCAAAAGGGAAUUGGCAGAUGUAAUUAAAUCAAGGUUCUUGAGAUGAGGAGAUUAUCCUGGCUUAUCCAGAUGGCCCCAGUGUAAUUAUAAGGUUCCUUGUGUGAAGGAGGUGGGAGGGUUAGAGUUGGAAAGAUGGAAGUAUGAAAAUAGAAGGAGAGGUGGGAGUGAUGCAAGGUCAUGAGCCAAGGCAUAUGAGCAGCUUCUAGAAGCUGGAAAAGGCAAAGAAACAGAUUUUCCCCUAGAGGCGCCAGAAGGAAUGGAGUGCUGCCAACAACUUGAUUCUAGCCCACUGAGACUGCUUUUGGAUUUCUGACUUCCUGAAGUAUAAGGUUCCAGGGUCUGCCAUGAAGAACCUUGAACAACAAACCAUUUAAUUCAGCAAAAAAGGCUUUCAUGGCACAAAGAAAGAGAAGACAACUAUAAGAAGUAAACGUUUUUUGACAGUUGAUUUUCUUCUGAGUGUGGCCAUUAAUCCUGCUGUCAGCGGGAAUGAAGACACUUCCUGAGGAAGGUCUAAAGCAGUUUUCAUAAUGCUGAGCCGUGGUAGCAUGCAAAUGAGAGCGUGACUUCGGGCCCUCUCACCUGCUGUUUAACGUUGCUGCAAACCUGUUCUAGAACUUCAGUAAAAUAAGUUUUUUAAUCUAACCUACAGAAAAUAUACUUCUUUUUAGGAGACAAAUGAGACCACAGAAAAUCCAAGGUAUUUUUAUUUACUAUUUUUUAAAAAAUAUUUGUGGAGGAAGAGGGUAGAUUCAAUGAAGAAAGUGAGACAUGAAGAAAAGUCAGUUUAAGUCUCCCAUCCCAACCCCUUUACAAGAACAAAACAACGCAUUUCCCACAGGCAUUGCUUUAUUCCCUCAUAACUGGCUUACACGUAGCCAAAAUGCCCUUUAGUUGUCUUGUUACCCCAGCACUAUUCAGAUCUCUCUGCACAGCACAGUGCGGCCAUCUGUCUCUAUGACGGUCCUUGUCAGACCCAGUAAUGCCGGCCACCUCAAGUGGUUUCUUUCUCACUGCCAACCAACCAUGGCUUCCCUGCCGAGUUUUCCUUUACAUCAUGGCCAGAGAUAAUGCCAGUUGUACCAAGGCCCUGUCAGGUUCCCUUGCAACAUACACUUCAUCCUUCUUCCAAUAUCAAUCUGAACUCAUUACUGCUAAUCCAAAAGCCACCUCCAAGUUACCAAGUAGCUGUCCUACCCUUCCCUUCAUCCAUGAUUCUCCUCACUACUCUUCCUUUAAGUCAUUGGAGUGGGAUAGUGGGCUCAGAAGCACGUUAGCUCUUCUUGAUUUCCUUCAAGCUUCAAAUGACUUCAAAUCAAUACAUAUUGGACACAGUCUUCUUUUCAUGCAAGUGUAGAUUCAAGACAAAUUCCCUAGUUGCCCUUUCUUAUCAGAUAGUUACCCCAGGCCCUUUCUUUCUAGAUAUGGCAAAGCCACUAUGAAAUUAUGUGGACAUUCCCAGCCCUACACUCAGUGACACUGACAUUUGAUCAGUACACAUUCACCAGGCUGCUUUUUGUAAAAGACCACUAAGUUGUAUACUUUGGGGGGUGGAUGUGGAUACACACAUCUUAAGGCCCUUGCAUGCCCUGCUACAGAGGAACAUCUUUUUAUGUGUCCUGUGGCCUGCCGACCCUGGCCUAUACUAUCAUAUGUAAACACGUCCCCUCUCAUUGGUCAGCUCUCACUCAUUCUGCCAUAAGUCAGCAUAGAUGAAUGAACAAUGCUCAGUUUGGAAUAAGAAAGACUUAAGAUUAAAUUCUGGCUGUCCUACUUAUAAAAUGUGUAAUAUUGAGCUAAUCACUUAGCUUAUUUGUGUUGUGGUGCUCUCAAAUGUAAAAGCAGAAGUGGCAUGUCACGAUUAAGUUGAUAUUUUGAUGUGACAAUUAAAAUUUAAAUGAGAUAAAAGAUGUAUUACCUGCCACAUAGUUACUAUUAUAUGUUCAAGUAAAUUACAUAUUAUUUUCUGUAUUAUUAAGCAAUCAGAUUUACUUUCAUAGAGUUGGCACAUUUCAUCCAAUAAUAGAAGCCUGGGAGCAUAGGGUUAAUCCAGAUUAAAAACAGACAAAAUGCACAUCCCAUUCAGUGCAUCAGUCAGCAGGAAAAGUCAGGUGAGCCAGUUCUACUUUCAGGUUGCAUAUUGCUGAAAUCCAAAUUAAUAAUGUUUAUUUUAAAUGUAGGUAUGCAGGAUGCCUGGAGCAUAAGGAAUGAAUCACAUAAAAUCAAUAAGUAGUGUAGUGGCAUUUAUUAGAACAAAAAUUUUCAGGAACAGGCAGAAUCUUCUACUUUCUUAGACACAUGUAGAAAUUUGUGGCCUAUCUUUCAGAAAAUUACUAUUUAUCAGACUAGUCGAUUUCUGCCUGCCUUCUUUUGUUCCCUCAAUGCUCUUAACCUAGCUCCUAAGUAAAUCAGGUUGUUUCUUCUCUAUAAUCAUUGGAAUACAGAUAUUUAGUCUGUCAUUCACCUCCCACUUCCAAUCCUUUUCCUAAAAGUGGUGUGUGUCAAAAACCACUUUCUGCCUUAGUAUUUGGGAGCCUUGUGUCACUGUAGAAAAAUGCCCAUUGUCUGUUGUUACUGUUGGGCGUAAAUGAAGCUGAUGUAUUUUGGAAACUACCUGUCCAAAGCUACUAUACUUUGACUAAUGGAUCUGAACAGUGCUGUCAAUCUUAUUCUCUUCUUUGUUUGAAGGUGCUCAGUGGCAAAACAGUGGUUCAUUUUUCUAGGUAACCCAUGUAGUAUAAUGCAGUAGCCUAAAAGCAACUUAGUAUUGAUGCAACAUUCUUUGUUAGCUUUGGGCACUUCCAAGAUUGGAGGUAAAAUAACUAAAUUUGGAAUAUCAAUAUUUAGGGUUUUUUUCAUUUAUUUCUUUACAUAUAAUAUGAGGUGAAUAAUCACUCACCAACCCAGGUAUGAUUCAACUGUCUGGCCCAGCAAAGUGCAUCAAUAUGUCCUUAGAGCUACCAGCACCAGCAGUCCUCCCUUCU